AGGGGUCGAAGAAGAUUAGUGCUCUAUAAAUCCCCAUGGCAGUACUGGGAACAGGCGAAUACGAAGAGGCACGUCAGAGAUGGGUUGUUUGAUCCGGAGCUGCUUCUCGUUGCUGCUGGGAACCACACUCGGCAUCUACGUCGCCCAGAACUACGACGUCCCAAAACUUAAGAACCUCUUCAACAAGGCAGUGGUGACGGCCAAGCAGAAAGAAGAGCAAUACCGCAAGAAGGAAGAAGACUCCGAACAGGAGCGCCAGUCCGUUGUUGGAUGCUUUUGCUCAACUUAAUUCAUACCUCAAUAAGUAUAUUAUAAUUUGAUGUGCUAGCUUUUGGUUUCUCUGUUCUCUUCUUAAUGUUUCACUGAAUGUAAUUGUUGACUUGGUGGAUUAAUAGCUUAUGGAAUAGGUUAUCUAAUAGUCUUUGGAUUGGCAUGGAAGUAUUCUAUUUGAGUUCCUUGCAAGCUGUGAAUUCGGUCGAGCAUUAUGGCAUAGAAGAAUUCAUGCAAAUCUUUUUAGUCUAAAAAUAAAUGAAAUGUAAUUCUACUGAUAAGAAUGUUUUGGAAUCUCCAAGCAGGAUGGCCAAAGAACAAGGCAUUGUCAUGUUUUAUUGUGAAUAAUGGAUCCUUCAGUAACUGCUGGUGCUUGGACUAUUUGACAUGAGGAGUGUUGAUGGUGAAGAAUUCUCUCCAACAUUCAUCUAAAAUAUCAAUGUAAGAAAUUGAAAGUCGUCAGCAAGUUUACAAGGGAAAAAGGAGAGAGUGAAGCUGAUUGCAACCAUGAGGCUGGAUGAAAGGAUCCCAGAGGGAGAAAUGAUGUGUGUGAGUCCUCUGCUCUAAGAGAUUUUCAGGUAAAUCAACAACUAAUUGUGCAUUAUUUUUCUCGUUAUUCAUGUGCACUUGUAAUCAUCUAGUAAAUUGUCAUCCAUUCUUUUCUCAAUUUAUAUGUAAAGAGAGAAUUAAGUUGAGACAAAGGUGGAAUAUGUGAAACAAUAAUCUUUUCUUCUAUAUG
rnacentral:lncRNA from 1 species